rnacentral:rRNA from 1 species
UACGAAGGGGGCUAGCGUUGUUCGGAAUCACUGGGCGUAAAGGGCGCGUAGGCGGCCGAUUAAGUCGGGGGUGAAAGCCUGUGGCUCAACCACAGAAUUGCCUUCGAUACUGAUUGGCUUGAGACCGGAAGAGGUCAGUGGAACUGCGAGUGUAGAGGUGAAAUUCGUAGAUAUUCGCAAGAACACCAGUGGCGAAGGCGGCUCACUGGCCGGUACUGACGCUGAGGUGCGAAAGCGUGGGGAGCAAACAGG